GAUCCUGAGAAGGUUUUGUUGAGUUCGGGACAGUAUUUCUUUACCCAUCCUUCAUGAAGAUAAAAAAUGAGGCAAAAUAGACACUAAAAUGGUCUCUGACAUCUCCUCAUGCCACCAGACAAGGAGUAACCAUGGUAACAAGAAGCCUAGAAAAAUUGGGGAAUGAGGAAGACCAGGAAUGAGAGCUCCCCUCAGCCCUGGGGGGACCUGAGUGUCCACAGCUGAGCCUUCUCUGCUUCCCUUUUCUCUUCUGGAUUCUGAUGGAGGAUAUUUUCAUCUUCCUCCCAAAAUCAUCAGAAAGCAUAAGGACAUAUAUAAACCGCUUUGCAAAAAGAGAGUGUAUGGAAUAAAAGAGAAAAUGAAGAAGAGGAGAAAGGCUGGAGUGCAAUGGUGUGAUCUCAGCUCACUGCAGCCUCAACCUCCCUGGCUCAGGUGAUUCUCCCACCUCAGCUUCCUGAUUAACUGGGAUUACAGUAAUGGUGAAAUUGCCGGUAAUCGCUAAGUAAAAACCACUGAAGAACAGGACAGAAGCCAAUGACCACCUCACCUCCACCGAGUGCCCUGCAGGAGCUGGGAGAUGGGAACAUCACUAGACCACGAGCCGGAAUUGCUGCAGGAGGAUUCCCACACUCUGGGCCUCCGUGGGCACCACGAGGACUGGACGUGCGACCCCAGCUCUCUGGGUCUCAGUUUCGUCUCCUGCAGAGCAUCUGAGCUAGACCGUCUCUAAAAUUUCAUCAAGCUCCUGUAUUCCAUUCUAUUCUGAGAUGCCCAAUUCUUAUGCCUGCUAAAAACCACAGUGAGAAAUAAUAACCUAUGUCCACAUUUUUGUUUCCUAGGAGAAAUAUCAACAUGCGUCUGCCAAAUAAAAUAUUGUAUUAAAUGA
rnacentral:lncRNA from 1 species